AAGUCUCUGUCCAUUCUCAUCCAUGAUCUUCUCAUAGUCGAGUAGACGAAUGUUCUUCAAUAACAAAAAAAACAUUAUGCACUCCAUUGCAUGUGACACAAGGAGAUAUAGAGUAAAGAACUCACCUUCUCCAGGAUGGCAUCAAGUAGAGGCAUAUUUGUUUCCUGCGCCUUGAUCGUGUGUGAGAAGAUGCAGUAAGUUUUAGAGGGAAUUAGCUGAUCUACAGGCACCUGCUUAACGCCAAAAAUCACGGAUGCUUCACUGAUGUCCUCCUGUACAACAGCCCCCGCGCUUAUAUAGGACUGAAAGGAUUUUUUUUUUUUGAAGCAUUAAUUAAAAGAUUUUUCAAAAGGUUCUCUCUCAGACAUACUUCAGGGAGCUUUUUUUUUAAAGAAUUAUUAUUGUGGAGUAAAAUUUACGCGGGAA